rnacentral:rRNA from 1 species
UGAGGAAUAUUGGUCAAUGGGCGAGAGCCUGAACCAGCCAAGUCGCGUGAAGGAAGAAGGUUCUAUGGAUUGUAAACUUCUUUUGCAGGGGAAUAAAGGACGGUACGUGUACUGUUUUGUAUGUACCUUGCGAAUAAGGAUCGGCUAACUCCGUGCCAGCAGCCGCGGUAAUACGGAGGAUCCGAGCGUUAUCCGGAUUUAUUGGGUUUAAAGGGUGCGUAGGUGGAUUGUUAAGUCAGUGGUGAAAGUUUUCAGCUCAACUGAAAAAUUGCCGUUGAAACUGUCGAUCUUGAGUGCAAAUGAGGUAGGCGGAAUGUGUUGUGUAGCGGUGAAAUGCUUAGAUAUAACACAGAACUCCGAUUGCGAAGGCAGCUUACUGGGAUGCAACUGACACUGAUGC